UGGUCGUUGGAAUUGCCCCAGUGAAAAUGGAACUGGAUGAGCCGAUAGGUAUCAGAGAGAGGGCCCCCUUUCAGAACUAGAAAGAAAGAGAGAUACUCUCAGCCAGUUGUCUCUUUACAGAAAUAAUGAUGAAGAUCCUGGAACAGCCAGAAAAGGAGAGAUGGCUCAUUAGGAAAUAGAAGGAUUGCAAGAAGAGCUGGCAGCUCUGCGAGCCGUCUUCCAGGAGGCCACAAAGCCUCCCAGUCGUUGCAAUUGUAAGUAAGAACUGUCUGCACUGCCAUGAACCACGAAGGAAGAUGGGCAACAGGCAUGCUUAGCUAGGGGCACCAUUCAUGCUGUUGUUCUUUAAUACUGAUGACUGUAUCCUUCCUCAGGAGGAAUCUGGCCAGCCGCUGAUGAAAGGCUGAGAUCCUAUAGCUGAAGAUACCAAGUGCUUUGCACAAAGGACCCAGAGGAUUCUGAGCUGGAUCUGACCUGAAAGCUCCUCACUGAGGACUAGAUUUCAUGGUACCAGAAAGCUCCAUACAAGCUUCCAAAGGACCGAAGUAACCAACAGUUCUACUCAGUCUAUACCUAUGAACCAUAGCAACAAUCACCAUGGCACUGAAACUCUUAAGAGUGCAGUAGUGGCACACAUGCCUUGAAGUUAACCAGCAGCUCUCUAAUAGGAUGUAAGGACAGCUCAAGAAAGGGAAAUUGGCCCUGAUAUUGGAAACUUGGCAAAUUACCUAGGGUUAUUGAAGUCAUAGAUCUUGGAAGAGAACCUUACAAUCUCCACUUUAAUAAACCAGUAUAAUCCCUAACUAGAUUUUAAAUAUUUAUCUUUAUGUCCAGAGUCAUAUGUAUGACUAUCACCAGCCAUCAAGAGAACUUCAUUUUGAAACAGAUGAAGGUCAAUAUAGAAGACCACAAUGUUGUGAAGAUUUAUGAAGCCAGGUUGUUAUAUUUACAACACAACUUCUGCAACUAAGGCUCAUGGAUCAUUUUGAAAGAGGGGGCGGAAAGACUGUAAUAACCUGAUGAUCAGGAAGCUUGCUGUGAAACUGUCUCCUAGAGAUGUCAGAGAAGUUACACCUAUGAAGUCUCACUAAAGUGGCUACCUAAGCAAAACCUGACCAAGACAGUACCAAUAGAUACGCUAACUGUGGAAGGGGGAAAGCUGAGGAGGCCUCAAUCCUAGACAAAACUACAGGUGACUGAGGAAUGUUGAGAGCUGGACAAACAGUCUUCCUCAGAGAAAACUCACCAACCAGUAAUCCAAUACCAAAUGAUCAGCCCUGCAAAUAUACAUAAAACAACAUGAUUCAGACCAAUCAGGUUAUGUUUAUAUAUUUUGGAAUACAUAUGUAUGCACACAUGCACACACACAUACAAAUAACAAAAACUAAAGAAGAAGGGGCCAGGCAUUUGAAAGAGAAUAAGGGGAGGAUGCAUAGAAGAGAUUGAAUGAGGAAAGGGAAGCAGGAAAAAUUUAAUUAUAUUACAUUACUUAAAAAUAUUUUGAAAGUGAAUGCAAAGUGACAAGCUGCUUAGAGUUACUGCUUUCUCCACUUUCCUGUUGUGACACAAUUUAUUCUUGAGCACUAAUCCAGAAAAACACAUUCUUCCCUUUAAAAAGAACACGAAUGGAAUUAUUACAGGUGCCUUUCAAAGAAGAAAUAUUUUCUUUUAUGCAGUCCCAUGAAAAGAUACUUUGAGUCACUGUAGCUUUACUUGUAUGACCUUAUUUUCAGUAUUCUGUGUGGUGAAAGAACAAAUAUCUGUAUUUUCAUUUCAAAAUGAAGGAAGAGCCCUUCAUGGUUUAGGGGCUUGUCCUACUUGUCAAAAUUGGUGAUACACAUCAGACUUAGAAUCUCAUCUUCAAACUAUGUCAAGAAUUCUUCACUAUUAUGAGUUAACUGAAAAAAAUUACCCAACAACAGCCUUUCUCCCAUUACAUUUACUUCAUUAUCACCAUGGAGUUCAUUUAAACAAGGAGCUACCUUACAAUGGUCACUGUACUUCCCUGGAGUAUAGGUGACAGAGUUGACACAUUCUUUUGACUCCUGCUUGGAGCUUGGUGUCCUUCAUGAUGCUGUCUGUGAUUGUGAGUCACUAUGUUCCCCAAAGGAGCAUAGACUGUAAUUCUGCACACGUCAAUAGCCAGUGUACACAGACCCAGAGAGCUGAGCAAUUGCUUACUUUUCUACCGAGGUUCCCUAAGUGCUCACAAAUCCUAUGCUUUUGUGUAGAAACCAAGCAAUGCAAGGCUUACACCACCAGAUCCCAGUGUAGCUUGCGAGGACAUUUCUCUACAUUUUCACAAACAUUUUCUCUACCUCUUCCAGGUCUAGAGGUGAAGGAUAGAUACUUUCCCUUCUGUUUCUUAAUCAGGUAGGCAAAACACCAUUAGAUUUAUAUUUGAAUCACUACAAAAGACAUCAGGAAAGACUUCUGUUCUCCUAGCAAAGGGUGAAGUAAACAAGUUUAAAUGAACAUACUUUUUUAGCCUGUCUUCAUUAGGUAAAAGUUUAUUUGAAAAAAAUAAUUUAGUUGAUAAUGGUUAUCUCUUGUUUUGAACUUUCCGUUUUUCUUUCUAUUAUUUUUUGCAAGUUGUUUCAGGCAAAGGAACAUACAUUACAUAAAUAUUUUGCUUGAAAAGAUAUUUAAAUAUUGGUUUAAGGAAUGCCAUAGCUCUUGGAGCUUUCUUAUGUAUGUGACUCCUCAGUGCAGAGUACAUACAGUGUUUCCUUCUCUUUUUUCCUGAGUCAAGUGUUCUGAGUAGGUCAUGUAGGCAAGAGUUCUCAAAUGUGACUUACAGGCACUGACUUUCUGGACUCCAAGGUUCUGGGAAAUGUAUCAAAGGACAAGAUCCCUGCUGCAUCCCCUGGGAACAGUAUUUGGCCUGUCCCAGAGUUCUUUAAUGUGAAGUACUUUGAAAUUGCAGUAAUAUCUUUAAGACUGCUCUCAACUUUGCCUCUAAAUAGUUGGCAAACUUCCACAGAAGCUUUGUGCAACUUCCCAAGAUUUACAAAAGCAGGGACGGAUGCUGGCCAGUGCUUUCAUUUCCCAUCAUCACCCAGGAGGAAGCCAGGACCUGUUUGGUGAGAAAGAACUCCAGGAAAAACACUUCUCAGGUUCAUGUCAACAUUUUUAAAAUGGGCACCCAUAGAACCCAAAAGAAUCCCAAGAGCCCAAGUUGCUAAAAGCCAUGUUCCAGUUAAGGUGAACCCUAUAACUGUGGAUCUCUUGGGACACAAAGGGCUGGUUUUAUAUAGUGGAGUGAUUUGAUAUGCAAGAUAGAUUCCUGGCUAUGAUCUCCAUGCCUCCCGUUGGUAAUCCCCAGGGCAGCUGCAGAGCCAGUGCUCACAUGGACAUUCUUACAAUGAGGUCUUUUGUUGUUCCUGUGCCGAGCUCUGAGAAUUCUCAUAAAUUCCUCUGCAGAGCAGGGUAAGAUUUGAAUGCGUGGUUCCUCACAGAUGGCACCAGCUGUAGCUGCUCUUUUCUAUUUUAUUUUUUGUUUUAAAAAUUUUCUUUGUAGUUUUCACUCAGUUUCCAGCUGCUGAUGCACAUGGUAUUAUCAGCAGAGACCAGUUGUUUCCCCCAAGGCACCCCUAGAUACAGGCUGACUGAAUGAUUUAUUCUAUCUAGUUAAUAGAAUGUUUUUAAAAGAAUCAUCAUAAUUUUAUAGCCAGAGGCAAACAACACAAUUUCAAUGAAUUAUCCAGGGCUUAAAAUGUAAGAGUAAAGUAGCAAGAAAAAGAAGUGAUUAUUAUUUAGCAGUAGCUAAAUAGACUGAAUUUGAAGGAAAGGGUGAUAGUGUGUCUUUUAUUAGAUCAAAUACUGACGGCAACAUUCUGGCAUGAUGGACGUGCCUUCUGCAUGAGAUGACUAUGACAUCCUCUCAAAGUACAGUCCCGAGGCUACAUGCCAAACAUAAUAGAUGUGACCUUUCAGUACCGUGGCUUCUGGCAUGGCACUGGUGUAAUCCUAGAUCACUCAUUUUUCCAUUUGGAUGUAGCUGAGACUGACAGGGCAGGUGUGAAUCCCAAAGUAACUGAUUUAUAGUCAGCUUUUAGACUCUUUCCUGCUUGCCUCUUCCAAAUUAAGCUUGAAAAUCUACUUCUCUUUACCACUUCUGUGGAUAACCUGGAGACAAGAGUUGUGAUAUUCCUGAUGCUUCUGCUAAGCUGAUAUAACUUGGAGCAUUUAUCAGCACUGCUAUCAAACGUUACAAGACUAAGCUGCAGCUUCUUCCUACAGCGGACAUGAACUGCAGUGAGCAGACAAGCAAUGUUUGCAGUGCAACAGACGGCAGCAUGGCUGUGGGCACUGCCUCGAGCACUGCAGCGCUUAGGGCUGAUUUUAUAAUUCAGUGACAUAUUGUUAUUGAUGCUACCUAGGAUGCCUGUCUGCAGAGAUGUCCCCAAAUCACUCCACACAACACCUAGGACAGGAUGGAGAAAGCUUGUUUGGAACUCAAUGGCCCACAUCUUCCUAGGGUAAAAACCUGGGACAGAUAUUAGUGAAAAUAGAGAGGGAGAGAAUCAUAUUGCCAUAUUAUAAGCAGGAAAAAUGCUUAAACCAGUGUAGGUCAUAUUUCAGGGAUAGGUAUGUCUUUUCUUGAAACUGGCUUCAAGUUAACCUGAAUACUGAACCCACACACUUACACUUGGCCUCAUUUUUGUUUUGGACCACCAGAGAUUUCUGAACCUUAGCCCUGGUCUUUCAGCCAUGACUCUGACCUUGCCUUUUGUUGGAUUAUGUCACAGCUCUUACUGCUAUAUGGCUCAAACCCUGCCAGGUCAACCCAUCUCUGAGGCCAGGACCCCUUAUUCUUUGUGUUCCAGGACCUGUUACUGACUGUAGUUGAGUUCAGACAGCCUAGGCAACUGUUUGCACAUGAUGUUGAAUUUAUGCCAAGGAAGAAAACUGUGCACAAGGAUCUAAGCCACAGGGGGAAGAAAGCAAGGCAACUUGUGCUAGGAACAGAGGGCAUAUUGAGUUCUCCAAACAAGCAAGCAAGCAAACAAACAAAAAAAAACAAAACAACAAAACCUCAGGGAUCUCUGAUCUUUGGCUCUUAAAAGGCAUGCGUCAGAGAAGGGGAAUAGAUCUGAGAGACAAAUGGCUUCCAGGGGGAACUUUGCUUUCUGUUUGGUCACCUACACUUGCUCAGGUUACACUAAUAAUCUUGACAGGGAACUAAGAGAGACAGAGGGAUCCUUUUGUGUUCCAGGAAAACCAUGUUUAAGGGGAAGUGAUUCAGUAUCUUUUUUCAAUGACAAGACUGGACAGAAACUCAUCUUCUGUAGUCACACCUAAAUUUCACUUUUUAGUGAAAAAAUCCGUUCUAAUUUCCAGAAAAGGUGCUAAAAUGGAAAUGUUGAGACAGUCUUUCAUUCUUUAAAAACACCUGCUUCCUUCGACAUGCACAGAAUAAAAAAGAGCUAAUUGCAAGUAGAAGAAGAGAGAGGCAGUUUUAAGUCAUUGGGAAUAGAUUCAAGUUGCCAUUUGCAGAGACAAUAGAAGAACUGAUUGGAGAAAGCAGAGAGAUUUGGUUUGCAGUCGGUGUUGAGGGAAGCAGGAGGCAGGAGCACUGCUGCUGCACUGCUGAGGAACACUAACACUGCUUCCCUGACUAGCAUGAGGAGAGAAAAUGAGCAUUCUGAGUAGAAGGCGUGCGGUCAGUCAUGGCAUCCUGACCCUCAGAUCUGUAGUCAUGGACACUGACACCCACUCCAGAACCGCUUCCCUCUGACUGAAGUACCAGAUAAGUCAUCAGAAGAAAAUAAAAACUUUAAAGGCGAGUUUGCAGAUGACCAAACACAUUUUGUGUGGCAAUUUCUUUAUAGAGGUUUAAAUUUCUGUACUUUAAAAAAUAUGUGUGAAGCUGUUUGAGCUUCUUAAGAGCUCUGGUUGAUCUAUCAGCUGACCCAAAUUCACUUCGCCACCCCAUGUCCAGUGUUCUAGGGAAUCUGAUGGUCUCUUCUAGGACCUAAAAGCAGAUGGAUUCAUUUCCUCACACCUACACAGCCCCAAACACAUAUACACAUAACAAAAAAUAAAAUAAAUCUUUAAAACUAACAAAAAGUUCAUAAUCUGGACUGGUACGUUGGGUCAAGGGUAAUGACACUUGCUGCUAGACCUGAUGAUUCCAGUGUAACCCACAAGGCCCCACAUGGUGGAAGGAGACAAAGCUGUUCUCUGGUCUUCACUUUUGCAUCAUGGUGAACACGCAUGCACACAAGUGUGUACACAAACACAAACACACACACACAUUCAAUUUUAAAACAAAAAUCAAAAGUACGUUUUCAAUUUAAGCAAUAAUAAAACACACCUUAUUUUUCAUUGUAGCUUAAAACUAAGCAUACAGUAUGAAUCUAGGCAUUUUUAUCAAUGGCAAUUGUGAUAAAUUUCCUUUUCUGGUAAGAAGGAUCAAGAGUGUUGGCAUGCAGUGGCUUCUUGUAAUGCAUGGUGCUUCCAGCAUUUGACACAAUUCUCAUGACAACAUGUGAACCCACUAUAGUGACAAUCACUUCUGAGGGUGGGCAAGAAUACCUGAUAUUACAUUUCAGGAUGAGAGAGAUAAAAUUUGAUUCCAUAAAAAGGGACUAAGUCCAACUGUGUCUUUCACCACAGUUAGGAAUUUUAAAACCACAUUGAACUUUUCCAUGCUACACUUGUAAGAAUAAAAGCUCUUCCUGAGUUAAUCCACAGGAUGUGUGGGCCUACAGAAAGAUUCCUAACACCUUAAUUGUGCGAAUAGAAAUAAAUAUUUUAACCUAAUUGGACCUCAGUUUCAUUACUUGGAGGGAUUGUGAUGGAGUAAAAGGACUUGGUGAGAAUUCUUUUGAGUGCUGAUCAGUUAGUUUUCUGGAGAUGUUUAAGAAGUGUGUAGACACUGUCUCCAUGGGCAUUACACUUUACUGUACACUUACAGAAGAAAACAAAAGCAGCUUGCUGAACAUUGUGGCCACUUCUCUGAAGGGAAUAGCAAGGCUGAAGAAGGCCAACAACUAUAGGGGCAGAACAAAGAGGCAACUUACGGAAACAAACGUGGGAGGAGGUGGGGCUGGUGCCAGUGACCUGGCAGAGGAGAGGUUUCUCCUACCUUGGACCCUCCUUCUUUAUAACACCCCAUGGCUAGCUCCUCUCAUCUUUCAGAUUUUAGGUCCGAUGACAUUCCUCCAAAAAUCUUAUUGACCUCAUUGUCUCUCCAUUUUUUUCCAGUUAUUCCCUAUCUGUUACUUCAAUUUGUUCCAUCAGACCAUCUUAUGAUUGUUAAAAUAAUCUAGAUUUCUUUUUGCAACUUCUUUAUUUUGUGUUUUUUCUUUUGGAAAAGAAGAUUAAACUUUUAUGUAUUUUAUCCACUUACAUGGCUUUAAAAAUAAAGAAAUGAAACGAUGUAAAGAUCUGUAGGAUGAAAAGAACAUUGAAUAUUAAGCAUUGUGAGGUGCUGUGAUUUGCAGUGGCUCCUCCUGAAUCCUGUCCCCUGGGCUUUACUAUACCAACUACUUCUAAUGUUGACUCUGGAGUUGGCUAAUGGGACAGCAGCAAACCACGCAGUGCAGGCUUGAUCCAUCUGACUCUGGGUAGAUGUUCAGGAAGAAUAUGUGUCAUGCAAAAGAUAAUGGAAUCUUCAGAAGAGACAUUUGUCUGUCUCAAAGGAAGAUAAAACUUUCCACAGAAGACUUGUGUGCAAGGGAAGUGCAAGAAAUGUCUGUCAUGUGGCAGUUUGGGAAGAUGAGAAAUAACCCCCCUUACCCCUCGCCCUUACCACCUGUAAGAGAUGAGAGGCUACCCCCAGACCAGCUGCAGCACUCAGGAAACAGGCCCUACCCCUCACCUAGCCAGCACAGCAGACAUGCCCAGUGGUCUGAGGUAAGCAUCACCCAGUCAUAAAGUUACAAGCAAAGGAGAGCUGCACCCCCAUUACUCAUCAGACACGUGGUAGUAUGAACAGAGGAGAGGUGCCCUCUCCCCAACCUCCCACCCAUCAACACUAGAAACAGGUGGAGAGCUGGUCCUGGGGUCAUAAGAGAAGGAGGGCUGUCCCUAUCCCUCACCAGCUGUAGCACUUCGAAUUGUGGCACCUGUACCUCACCUGGACUACACAACAGAGCUGACCCUAAAGGUGUAGGUGUGGGAGAGCUGAAUAUGAGGGUGAGAAAAAAGAAUCUGCUCCACUUCUUGCUCAUUGUUGUAAGAGGUGAAUUAGCUGGGGCAAUGCUGGAGAGCUCACUCUGGUGGUGAAGACAGAAGAGAGCUGGUUGGUGGACCAACUCUACAGCACCCAGACCCAGAACCAGGAUUAUGUCUUGGCCUGCCCCAAUAUGCUUCCUUUCUAUGAUGUGCUGGAGCACGUGAAGGAAUCUGACCUGCAGAACCAAAGCUGAAGGAUAUCUACAACACAGGGCAACAACAGGAUAUCCAAGAAUUACCCUAGUGAAAGCCCCACAUCGAUGGUGCAAUAGAAAUCAGAGGCCUCGAACUAAACCAAUGACUCUUUGCAAUGAACACUUGCAAGUAAAGAUGUAUGGAUAAAGUAUGCAAGACUUACUGCGUCAUACUACUGCUUUCAUUAUGAUAUUUUAAAUUUAUUCUUUUCGUUUUUUCUCUGAAAUUUUGUUUUGUUUCUGGGGGUACAGGGGCAGAGGGUGGCUACGAAGGGAUGGUGAAAUGAAUGGAUCAAAAUGCAUGAUGUAGAAGACAAAAAUAAUAAAAAUAUAUACAUAAAAAUGUUUAUAUUGAUUCUCUUGACUUUGGAAAAUCCAAGACCAUCUUAAUUUGGUAAUGAAAAUCAUGGCUAUUAGCUUUGUUCAGACUGCAUGAGCUAUUUGGGGAUAAGAAUAGAAGUGACCAUGACCAUCAGGGGACAGUAAGUCAGGGGAAGUCACACCAAGACUCUAGAC